GCCUUGCUGUAGCAGCACGUAAAUAUUGGAGUUCACCACUGCUGAAGCCUCCAGUAUUGACGGUGCUGUUGAAGCAAAGC
rnacentral:pre_miRNA from 1 species